rnacentral:rRNA from 1 species
UUGGCGGACGGGUGAGUAACGCGUGGAAAACCUGCCGUAUACUGGGGGAGUAACACUUAGAAAUAGGUGCUAAUACCGCAUAAGCGCACAGCUUCGCAUGAAGCGGUGUGAAAACUACUGGUGGUAUACGAUGGUUCCGCGUCUGAUUAGCUAGUUGGUGGGGUAAGUGGCCUACCAAGGCAACGAUCAGUAGCCGGCCUGAGAGGGUGAACGGCCACAUUGGGACUGAGACACGGCCCAAACUCCUACGGAAGGCAGCAG